rnacentral:sRNA from 1 species
GCUGGGUGUGGUGGUGCAUGCCUGUAAUCCCAACAAUUCAGGAGGCUGAGGCAGGAGGAUCCUAAAUUCAAUUCAAGGCUCCUAAGCAACUUAGUGAGAACCUGUCUCAA